rnacentral:rRNA from 1 species
UAGCCUUUCGAAAGAAAGAUUAAUACCCGAUGGCAUAGUUCUUCCGCAUGGUGGAACUAUUAAAGAAUUCCGGUCAUCGAUGGGGAUGCGUUCCAUUAGGUUGUUGGCGGGGUAACGGCCCACCAAGCCUUCGAUGGAUAGGGGUUCUGAGAGGAAGGUCCCCCACAUUGGAACUGAGACACGGUCCAAACUCCUACGGGAGGCAGCAGUGAGGAAUAUUGGUCAAUGGACGAGAGUCUGAACCAGCCAAGUAGCGUGAAGGAUGACUGCCCUAUGGGUUGUAAACUUCUUUUAUACGGGAAUAAAGUGAGGCACGCGUGCCUUUUUGUAUGUACCGUAUGAAUAAGGAUCGGCUAACUCCGUGCCAGCAGCCGCGGUAAUACGGAGGAUCCGAGCGUUAUCCGGAUUUAUUGGGUUUAAAGGGAGCGUAGGCGGACGCUUAAGUCAGUUGUGAAAGUUUGCGGCUCAACCGUAAAAUUGCAGUUGAUACUGGGUGUCUUGAGUACAGUAGAGGCAGGCGGAAUUCGUGGUGUAGCGGUGAAAUGCUUAGAUAUCACGAAGAACUCCGAUUGCGAAGGCAGCUUGCUGGACUGUAACUGACGCUGAUGCUCGAAAGUGUGGGUAUCAAACAGGAUUAGAUACCCUGGUAGUCCACACAGU